rnacentral:tRNA from 1 species
CGGAACAUAGCUAAAUAGGCAGCACCCCACUUACACUGGGUUUAGAACCGUGCAAUUCGGUUUGUUUUGA